AGAGUUUGAUCCUGGCUCAGGACGAACGCUGGCGGCGUGCUUAACACAUGCAAGUCGAACGAGACGAUUGAAAGCUUGCUUUUGAAAGUCGAGUGGCAAACGGGUGAGUAACGCGUAGACAACCUGCCGUAAAGAUGGGGACAACAGUCCGAAAGGACUGCUAAUACCGAAUGUUGUAAAUCUUCCACAUGGAAGACUUACUAAAGGUGGCCUCUACUUGUAAGCUAUCGCUUUACGAUGGGUCUGCGUCUGAUUAGCUGGUUGGUGGGGUAACGGCCUACCAAGGCGACGAUCAGUAGCCGGUCUGAGAGGAUGAACGGCCACAUUGGAACUGAGACACGGUCCAGACUCCUACGGGAGGCAGCAGUGGGGAAUCUUCCGCAAUGAGCGCAAGCCUGACGGAGCAACGCCGCGUGAGUGAAGAAGGGUUUCGACUCGUAAAGCUCUGUUGUCGGGGACGAACGUGGAGACGGCGAAUAGCCGUUUCCAAUGACGGUACCUGACGAGGAAGCCACGGCUAACUACGUGCCAGCAGCCGCGGUAAUACGUAGGUGGCGAGCGUUGUCCGGAAUUAUUGGGCGUAAAGGGAGCGCAGGCGGGAAGGUAAGUCUAUCUUAAAAGUGCGGGGCUCAACCCCGUGAGGGGAUGGAAACUAUCUUUCUUGAGUGCAGGAGAGGAAAGCGGAAUUCCUAGUGUAGCGGUGAAAUGCGUAGAUAUAUGGAGGAACACCGGUGGCGAAAGCGGCUCUCUGGUCUGUAACUGACGCUGAGGCUCGAAAGCGUGGGGAGCAAACAGGAUUAGAUACCCUGGUAGUCCACGCCGUAAACGAUGAGUGCUAGGUGUUGGGUCCUUUCCGGGACUCAGUGCCGCAGCUAACGCAUUAAGCACUCCGCCUGGGGAGUACGACCGCAAGGUUGAAACUCAAAGGAAUUGACGGGGGCCCGCACAAGCGGUGGAGCAUGUGGUUUAAUUCGAAGCAACGCGAAGAACCUUACCAGGUCUUGACAUCCCUCUGACCGCUCUAGAGAUAGAGUUUUCCUUCGGGACAGAGGUGACAGGUGGUGCAUGGUUGUCGUCAGCUCGUGUCGUGAGAUGUUGGGUUAAGCCCCGCAACGAGCGCAACCCCUAUUGUUAGUUGCCAUCAUUGAGUUGGGCACUCUAGCGAGACUGCCGGUAAUAAACCGGAGGAAGGUGGGGAUGACGUCAAAUCAUCAUGCCCCUUAUGACCUGGGCUACACACGUGCUACAAUGGCUGGUACAACGAGUCGCGAGUCGGUGACGGCGAGCUAAUCUCUUAAAGCCAGUCUCAGUUCGGAUUGUAGGCUGCAACUCGCCUACAUGAAGUCGGAAUCGCUAGUAAUCGCGGAUCAGCACGCCGCGGUGAAUACGUUCCCGGGCCUUGUACACACCGCCCGUCACACCACGAGAGUUUGUAACACCCGAAGUCGGUGAGGUAACCGUAAGGAGCCAGCCGCCUAAGGUGGGAUAGAUGAUUGGGGUGAAGUCGUAACAAGGUA
rnacentral:rRNA from 1 species